UACGGAGGGGGCUAGCGUUGUUCGGAAUUACUGGGCGUAAAGCGCACGUAGGCGGCUUUGCAAGUUAGAGGUGAAAGCCCGGGGCUCAACUCCGGAAUUGCCUUUAAAACUGCAUCGCUAGAAUUGUGGAGAGGUAAGUGGAAUUCCGAGUGUAGAGGUGAAAUUCGUAGAUAUUCGGAAGAACACCAGUGGCGAAGGCGACUUACUGGACACAUAUUGACGCUGAGGUGCGAAAGUGUGGGGAGCGAACAGG
rnacentral:rRNA from 1 species